CAGCUAGCUUAUUUACCAAUAUAACUAAACAAUAUAAAUAAAAUAAAAUAAACCAAACACCAAAAACUAAACCAUUCUUUUACCUGAGUAUGGGAGACAGAAAAGGUUCAACCAAAGCAAUAGAAAUAGUACCGCAAGGGAAAGCUGAAAGAGAAAUGAAAUAACCCAUAUAAGUAUUAAAAAGCAAAGAUUAAACCUUGUACCUUUUGCAUCAUGAUUUAGCCAGUAAACACAAGCAAAGAGACCUUUAGUUUGAAACCCCGAAACCAGAUGAGCUACCCCGAGACAGCCUAUUAAGGGCCAACCCGUCUCUGUGGCAAAAGAGUGGGAAGAGCUCCGGGUAGAAGUGAUAGACCUACCGAACCUGGUGAUAGCUGGUUGCCUAAGAAAUGAAUAGAAGUUCAGCCUCGUACCCCUCAGGUCAAACAAGCACUAAUCAAGAUACCAAGAGAAAAACACGAGAGUUAGUUGAAGGGGGUACAGCCCCUUUAACAAAGGAUACAACCUUAUCCAGGAGGAUAAAGAUCAUAAUAUAUAAAAUAUACUGUUCUAGUGGGCCUAAAAGCAGCCACCUAAACAGAAAGCGUUAAAGCUCAGACAGAAAGAAGUUUAUUAUUCUGAUAAAAAAUCUUACUCCCCUAAAUACUAUUAGGCUAAUCCAUGCCCCCAUGGAAGAGAUUAUGCUAAAAUGAGUAACAAGAAGGCUCGCCCUUCUCCAAGCACAAGUGUAAGCCAAACCGGACUAACCAUUGGCGAUUAACGAACUCAACCCAAGAGAGCAAUGUGAACCAUAAAAGAAACAAGAAAAACCCACACUUAACAAUCGUUAUCCCCACACUGGAGUGCUAUUAAAGGAAAGACUAAAAGAAAAGGAAGGAACUCGGCAAACACAAGCCUCGCCUGUUUACCAAAAACAUCGCCUCCUGCAACACAACCAUGUAUAGGAGGUCCAGCCUGCCCAGUGACUACAAGUUCAACGGCCGCGGUAUUUUGACCGUGCAAAGGUAGCGCAAUCACUUGUCUUUUAAAUAGAGACCUGUAUGAAUGGCUAAACGAGGGCUUAACUGUCUCCCCUUUCAAGUCAGUGAAAUUGAUCUGCCCGUGCAGAAGCG
rnacentral:rRNA from 1 species